rnacentral:rRNA from 1 species
UAGGGAAUCUUCGNCAAUGGACGGAAGUCUGACCGAGCAACGCCGCGUGAGUGAAGAAGGUUUUCGGAUCGUAAAGCUCUGUUGUAAGAGAAGAACGAGUGUGAGAGUGGAAAGUUCACACUGUGACGGUAUCUUACCAGAAAGGGACGGCUAACUACGUGCCAGCAGCCGCGGUAAUACGUAAGUCCCGAGCGUUGUCCGGAUUUAUUGGGCGUAAAGCGAGCGCAGGCGGUUAGAUAAGUCUGAAGUUAAAGGCUGUGGCUUAACCAUAGUACGCUUUGGAAACUGUUUAACUUGAGUGCAAGAGGGGAGAGUGGAAUUCCAUGUGUAGCGGUGAAAUGCGUAGAUAUAUGGAGGAACACCGGUGGCGAAAGCGGCUCUCUGGCUUGUAACUGACGCUGAGGCUCGAAAGCGUGGGGAGCAAACAGGAUUAGAUACCCUGGUAGUCCACGCCGUUAAACGAUGAGUGCUAGGUGUUAGACCCUUUCCGGGGUUUAGUGCCGCCAGCUAACGCAUUAAGCACUCCGCCUGGGGGAAGUACGACCGCAAGGUUG